rnacentral:misc_RNA from 1 species
GGGGCAUCUCAUUAUCAACAAGAAAAUGCAUUCACUUUGAUAUAUUCAAGUCUCCAAGCCAAUCCAUAUACUGCUUUCGGUUACAGUAAAUGAACUAACUUAAUUAAAGAAGGCAUAUCCUACAACACAAUCUUAUUCAUCCCCCAACACUCAACUCAACAGAAUUAUAAAAUAUUAUGUAUGGCUAAAUGAACAUUUUGACCUUAGCUUGUGAUCUUUUUGCUCAAGCUUAGCUCCACAUCGUGGUAGGAUUUACCUUCUAUUUGUACAUUAGUAGUACUUUUGUAGCGAUACCGGCGAGCACAGAACAGAAAGUAUAUUAAGUUCACGCUACCCAUUCCUGCUAAGAGGAAGUAGAAAUAAUCCAAUUUUCCAGCAUUUAGAUCUUUAGUUAACCAGUCAGGGUGGUCUUUUGUUCUUGUAGCUUUGUGCACCACUGUGAUCACCAAGCUGCUAAGGUAGCUUGCACCCCCAAAUGAGCAAAAGAAAAGAGAAUUAGCCACACUUCUCAUGUGUUCAGGGAACUCCUUAUUGUAGAAUUCUAUUUGUCCGAUAAAAUUGAAUGCUUCACAUAACCCCAUUAUGACGAGCUGAGGAGCAAGCCACAGGACUGACAUGUGAGCACCAUCAGGAUGCGAAAUGGCUACAGCCCUUCUUUCCCUUUCAACCAAUCCAGAAACUACCAUGGCUAGAAUGGACAAUACAAUCCCAAUUCCAAUUCUUUGGAGAAGUGUGAUUCCGCCUUCAUGUUUGGUGAUUCUUCGAAGAGCUGGUACUAUCAUCCUGUCAUAGAAUGGAAGCCAUAUUCCUAUUGUUAUCAUUGAAAUAACACUAAUGGAACCUGCAGGAAUUUGAAACUUGGGUCCAAGGUGUCUGUCCAUUCUCAAGGCUUGUGAUACGGUAAAUGUUCCUUGCUGUGACAUGGAAGUGAGGCUAAUAAUACCAGAAGCCCAUAUUGGACUAAUUUUGAACAGACACUUCACCUCUUCUAUCUGUUGGAUACUGCAGAGCCUCCAUUGAUUUGCACAAGAACCAUCAGGAUUUAG